GAUGAACGCUGGCGGCGUGCCUAAUACAUGCAAGUCGAGCGAACAGACGAGGAGCUUGCUCCUCUGACGUUAGCGGCGGACGGGUGAGUAACACGUGGAUAACCUACCUAUAAGACUGGGAUAACUUCGGGAAACCGGAGCUAAUACCGGAUAAUAUAUUGAACCGCAUGGUUCAAUAGUGAAAGACGGUUUUGCUGUCCCUUAUAGAUGGAUCCGCUCCGCAUUAGCUAGUUGGUAAGGUAACGGCUUACCAAGGCAACGAUGCGUAGCCGACCUGAGAGGGUGAUCGGCCACACUGGAACUGAGACACGGUCCAGACUCCUACGGGAGGCAGCAGUAGGGAAUCUUCCGCAAUGGGCGAAAGCCUGACGGAGCAACGCCGCGUGAGUGAUGAAGGUCUUCGGAUCGUAAAACUCUGUUAUUAGGGAAGAACAAAUGUGUAAGUAACUAUGCACGUCUUGACGGUACCUAAUCAGAAAGCCACGGCUAACUACGUG
rnacentral:rRNA from 1 species